UGAAUAACAAGAGUCAUGUUUAUCUGCAGUUAUUUUUUUUUCAAUUUCUUUGAUAUUUUUUAAAAUAAUUAUCUGAGUAAAUUCUAUUUUAACAUGAUUAUUUUAAAGGAAUUACAUCACAAAUGCUUAAAAAAAAUUCAAAAGAUGGUGUAAAUAAUAAAAAAUUAUUAUAUAAGCUACUAGAUGCAUUUAUCAGUAUGUUUUAAUAAAAUAAAAUGUAUUUCAGCAAUGCAUUAUCAAGAAGGAAGAGAUUAAUGAACCCUACCCUCUUACAAUGAACAACACAUGGACACUCUCGGGAUGAUCCGUUUGCUUUCAUUAAGAGUUCCAAGAUGUUGGUCUGAUUGACUGGGGUGUGAAAUGUAACAGCCAAUGGUGUACUUAAGCUAAGACUGUCAGUCCCAAUAAUCAAGAGGUGAGAUAAGCAAUGGAUAUGUGUUCUAAAUUUACUAAAUUGACCACUUUUUAUAAAUGUUUCUUUUACUCUAUAGGAAAAACCCCUACAUAAACAAAUACAUGGGCGCAGACAUUUUGGACACCCAAAGUUGUGCGGAGGAGAAAAUGCUAGCUGGCGCGUGAUUGGUCAAUAAGAGAAAAGACUUGUUAUGUAUUUGACAAGUGAAAUAAAGUUGAUAAAAAUCUCA